CCGAACUUCCCCUGGGGUUCUAUUGCUGGCCCCACCUCCAAGGUUUCAGUCAUAGGGCUUGAAAAAUCCCAGGGGAGGAAGGUGGGGGCUCGUGUUCUAAAAGCAGGACCAGAGGGCAGUUUCCUCAUCUAUAAAAAGAGCUGCCCAGAAUGUGGAUGCCACCAUCAUGGACCACGUGAAGAAGGUCAUGCAGAACAGAGCAACAGGAUAGAAGGAGCCUGAGUCCUUGUCACUGAGUGGCACAGUACCUGUCCUUAAACACCUCCCCGGAUGUCUAAGUGAGAUAUAAACAUCUAUCUUAUAUAAGCCA